UACGGAGGGUGCAAGCGUUAAUCGGAAUCACUGGGCGUAAAGCGCUCGUAGGCUGUUUGGUAAGUCAGACGUGAAAGCCCUCGGCUUAACCGGGGAACUGCGUUUGAUACUGCCAGACUUGAGUGUCGGAGAGGGUGGCGGAAUUCCGGGUGUAGGAGUGAAAUCCGUAGAUAUCCGGAGGAACACCAGUGGCGAAGGCGGCCACCUGGACGACAACUGACGCUGAGGAGCGAAAGCGUGGGGAG
rnacentral:rRNA from 1 species